CGGCUUCGUAACCCUUGCAUAUUUCUCCAAACUCUUUACCUUCCUAUAUAUCUCCUCUUGCUCUAUGUUCUUGGGUGGUUUCUCAAUUUCAACAUGAGGCUCAAGGUGGAGAGUGUAGGACUAAGGAUCUAGGACUUUGAAGGUAGGUUCUGAGGCAUAGUAUUGGGUAUCUGGAACUGGGAAUGCAAUUGUUUUAGCUGGUGGAGCAUGGAAAGUUCGGGAGGAAGUGCCGGGGUGGUAGUUGUGGUAUGAGGUAACGCCUGGUGCAUGUUGAGGGGAAAGAUCAACGGUAUUGGGAAUUUGGGCUUGGGAUAGAGGUGGGAUAGUUGCAGGGUUUUCAAGGUAGUUAGUGGGGAAUGAAGGUGGAGGAUGCCCCCUGACCCAAGACUGAUGCAUUUCUGCCAUCUGUUGUUUCAACCUUUGGACUUCCCCUUUCAGUUCCUAUACUGAUUCUACAAUCUCCCUUGAUGGGUCUCCA
rnacentral:lncRNA from 1 species